rnacentral:snRNA from 1 species
UCUCUUGUGCUCGGGCAUGUACUGUCGCCAGUGAGGUCCUUACCGAGGCACAGUCUUUUGCUGAUUGCAAAUUACACAUCCGAACACGUCCUUUGGCUUCGGCCUCAGGCAAUUUUUGGAAAACCCUCUCCGGGU